UGAGGAGAGCAAAUGAUCUUGUUGCAGGAGAGUUUCACAGAGAAGUCUUACAACGAAGUCGUUAAAGUGAUGUUGUAAUUAGCCAUAGUUAGCACAGGUAUGAAUGCCUUGUGUGUGUGCCAGCACUGUCCACGCCAGUUCUCCGGCAGGGGAGUGAAAACACUGCCUGCUUGCCAUGCUGAGG